rnacentral:rRNA from 1 species
GUAGGGGGCAAGCGUUGUCCGGAUUCAUUGGGCGUAAAGCGCGUGUAGGCGGUUCAAUAGGUCCGAUGUGAAAACUCGAGGCUCAACUUCGAGAGGCCAUCGGAAACCAUUGGACUAGAGUCCGGAAGAGGAGAGUGGAAUUCCUGGUGUAGCGGUGAAAUGCGCAGAUAUCAGGAAGAACACCGAUGGCGAAGGCAGCUCUCUGGGACGGUACUGACGCUGAGACGCGAAAGCGUGGGGGAGCGAACAGGAUUAGAUACCCUGGUAGUCCACGCCGUAAACGAUGGGCACUAGGUGUGGGUGGUGUCGACUCCAUCCGUGCCGCAGCUAACGCAUUAAGUGCCCCCCGCCUGGGGAGUACGGCCGCAAGGCUA